AAGCAUAAUUUUUUGUGGUGCAUUUACUUGAUUGGUGCUUGGGGAUGUUUGAGGCAGAUUUGUUUCCGUCGUUUUGAGGCCAGCUUGCUGGUACCCAAACGGUGUUAGCAUUUUUUGUCUUGGGCAUUUGAGUAUGGCUCACGUGUAUUUAUUGGACCGAUCUGAGUGUAAGUUACGGUCGCAUGCGACACGUGCUUUUCAAUUAGUUCGGUCCAGUUAAUGCUCUCGUACUCGUUCCCCAUGUAAAAGCCGGUCAUCUAUCCGACCCGUCUUGAAACACGGACCAAGGAGUUUAUCGUGUGCGCAAGUUUUUGGGUGUUAAAAACUUAAAAGCGAAAUGAAAGUAAAUGACUCUUUAGAGUCUGAUGUGCGAUCUUGUAAAAAAGUGUAGCAUGGCCCCAUUCUAACUGUUUACAGUAGGGUGGCGGAAGAGCGUACGCGGUGAGACCCGAAAGAUGGUGAACUAUUCCUGAGCAGGACGAAGCCAGAGGAAACUCUGGUGGAAGUCCGAAGCGGUUCUGACGUGCAAAUCGAUCGUCUGACUUGGGUAUAGGGGCGAAAGACUAAUCGAACCAUCUAGUAGCUG
rnacentral:rRNA from 1 species